UACAGAGGGUGCAAGCGUUGUUCGGAAUUAUUGGGCGUAAAGCGCGCGUAGGCGGCUCGGAAAGUCGGUCGUGAAAUGCCGGGGCUCAACCCCGGGACUGCGUCCGAUACUCCCGAGCUGGAGGCAGGUAGGGGAGAUCGGAAUUCCUGGUGUAGCGGUGAAAUGCGCAGAUAUCAGGAGGAACACCGGUGGCGAAGGCGGAUCUCUGGGCCUUGCCUGACGCUGAGGCGCGAAAGCUAGGGGAGCGAACAGG
rnacentral:rRNA from 1 species